UGAAGGCCAGGCUGAAGACUUUGCCGGAUUAGCUGAGAGGUGGUGCAUGGCCGUCGUCAGUUCGUACUGUGAAGCAUCCUGUUAAGUCAGGCAACGAGCGAGACCCACGCCCACAGUUGCCAGCGUACUCUCUGGAGUGACGGGUACACUGUGGGGACCGCCGCUGCUAAAGCGGAGGAAGGAAUGGGCAACGGUAGGUCAGUAUGCCCCGAAUAUCCCGGGCUACACGCGAGCUACAAUGGUUGGUACAAUGGGUAUCUACCCCGAAAGGGGACGGGAAUCUCCUAAAACCAAUCUUAGUUCGGAUUGAGGGCUGCAACUCGCCCUCAUGAAGCUGGAAUCCGUAGUAAUCGCGUUUCAACAGGACGCGGUGAAUACGUCCCUGCUCCUU
rnacentral:rRNA from 1 species